rnacentral:tRNA from 1 species
GGGGAUUUAGCUCAGCGGCAUAAGCGCCUGCCUUGCAAGCAGGCAGUCAUGAGCUCGAUCCCCG